rnacentral:lncRNA from 1 species
AUACUAUAAUAUAAAAGUAAAAGUAAUAUUUGACAAAUCAAUUCACACAUAAAAUUAAGUGAAAAUUUAAUAAUAGCAGAUAUUUAGUGAUUGCAAUUCAAAAAUCAGGGCUGAAGUUUUAUUAUUCACCAAUCAGGUAUUCCAAACCCUAAUUAUUUCAUUCUAGUCUCUCUCUUCUCACUCUCUCAACGACUAUCCGCUCCCCCCUAUCCCAAAUAAUUGGUCUCACAAGCUAAUAUCUAAAGCUAUCGUCACAAAUCGUCAUUGAUGACGCCACCUGAAGCCGUUAUUGGGAGCGCCAUUGAUGAUGUCCCACCUUUUCUUCUUCUCUCUACUGCAACCAAGAGAACCACUAUGUGCACGAAAUCGAUAGCCACAGUGAUAGACCCAGCACCCGUCUUCUCUUUUUCCUAACCUCUCUUCUCUCUCAACAAUAGCGGUGCUGAUCCUGGAAGAGAAUCUCCGGUGCAACGAUGUUACCAUCGGAAGAGAACCGUCCGGAGUAGCGACAUCCAGUGCUGCGCUCAAUGGUGAUAACGAUGUCGCAAGCAAGCUAUGCCCUGCCGUUUGUCUUACACACCAAUAAUCGUUAGUGGUUGUGGUAGUGUGGUGUGGUGAGUUCAGAUUUGGUUGGUGGUGGUGAGUGUGUGGAGACGGUGGUGUGGUGGUGGCACUAUCGUUGUGCAGUGGUGUUUGACUUGUUUGUGGAGGUGCAAAUGUGGUGUGCGGUGGGUUGGUGAGUUCAGAUCUGGUUGGUGGUGGUAAUGUUGGUGGGCGUUGUGUUGUGUUGUUAUUGUUGGUGGUGGCGGUGGCAGUGGUGGUAACGACGGAGGAUGGGAUGAGUAUUUUGUGACCAACUUUUGGUCGAUUUGUGGCAAGUAUUUGUGAUGGAUUGGAG